rnacentral:rRNA from 1 species
GCUGCAGUAUCUUGACUGUACAAAGGUAGCAUAAUCAUUAGUUUCUUAAUUGGGAGCUGGAAUGAAUGGUUGAAUAAGGAAAUGACUGUCUCUCUUUAAUUGAAUUGAAUUUUAUUUUUAAGUUAAAAAGCUUAAAUUUUAUAAAAAGACGAGAAGACCCUAUAGAGUUUAAUAAAUUUAUAUUUUUAUAGUUUAGGGUUUUACUUUAUAUAAAUGUAUGUUUAUUUAGUUGGGGUGAUUCUGGAAUUUGUUAAACUUCCUAUAAUUAGUCAUUGAUUUAUGAAUAUAUGAUCCUAACUUUUAGAUUAAAAGAAUAAAUUACCUUAGGGAUAACAGCGUAAUUUUUCUGGAGAGUUCUUAUCGAUAGAAGAGAUUGCGACCUCGAUGUUGGAUUAAAGUUAAAUUUUGGUGUAGAAGCUUUAAUUUUAAGACUGUUCGAC